GCCAGUCACCAAUAUGCACCUUUUUCACCGGAAGCACACCAGUGACACGAGGGACCACCAAAUAGUCUAGACAGAAUUCAUCAUCAGAGACUCUGGACUUCGCCAUCACGUGUACUUGAAACCUAGGGGCGAGACAGCUUUGCACAGAGCAACACGUUGGACAUUGAGCAAGCUUGAGUUACUCACAUUUUGCUCAAAAUUAUGUGCGAUUACUUGGAUCUCAGUACCAACCGACGUAAAUUGUACGUAGUAGUCAAUCUGUCAAAUCGGUUUUUCGACAACAUCGAUUAGUACCAAAUGCGAAGUUGCUAAUAUUGAUACUGAAUAUCUCGUGAAGGUAAUAUUUUUCACGGCAGCCAAUUUGUCUUAUACUUGUAUGAAAUCUAUGUCGGUCUUAACAAGAGCUCUAAGCUGAGGCAGAUGCAGUACCGCGAAGAUCGCCUGUCUCGUACCAAUGAAAUCCAAACUAAACACACCGAGCUCUUGUCGCGAUCUGAUGUCAUCGUACAUGCCACGUUCAAAAAGAAAGACAUGCAAUUGCUAAAAGUGUUCCAGGAUAAGCUUCCCCUGAGAUUUAUGAGUGGCCCAUCACACAUCCGCACCUAGAGUCAGCAUGAGAAAUUGUCCUACAUCCUGACCCAUAUGCGGAAGACCACCCACUAGUAAAUUGCAGCUUCGGCUCUUGUGUGCGAGAUUUAACCAUUCUCUCCGUUUUGGAAAUUUGUAGGAAUCUAUCUGGGAAGAAAAAACACUUUUGAAGUAGCAAUGGGACAUUCAAUGAGUGUAAUAAAUUCAUGUCAAUAAAAUGAUCAAUUGUGAAAAAAA